rnacentral:lncRNA from 1 species
AUGACAGUGGGACCCCUCCAUGUUAGCACAUGCAGUGACAUCAGUGGCCGCAGCAGCAGUGUGUCACAGUGCAUGCUCAUUGGCUCUGCCAGGGUGCCUGCCUCCCUGCAGUGGCAGAGGCAGCAUGACUCAGAGCUGUUCUGCCGGGCAGGCCAGUGUCUGGUGUUAGUGACUGCUGUUCCUUCAGUGGCAAUAUCACUCCUCCCAUGGGCAUAACUUUGAGGCAAGGGAAGAGCCUGCUUCCUGACCUUAACCCAAGCCAGUGGCCUGCUCCCAUCUUUUCUUGCUACUUUCAGCUCUUUUCUUCAUGAGAAACCCAAUGUACAAAUGCAAGCUCUGCUGACAACUUCCCACACCUGCGUAUAGCUAGCGCCACUGCUCUGUAGACGUAUACAUACACAGGUGUUGUUAAUCAUUGGAAGGAGAACACCAAUGAAGAGAUUUUACAGUCUCUGCAAAGAGGCUUGGAGCUAUUUUGGCAGGGAUUUAUAAGAAUUCAGGUAUACUCAGCAUGAGAAUAUGGGAGAGGCACCAGGUCCAGAUGGGUACAUGCCUUACUCUUGGAGCUCCUUUAUCUUGUAAGAAGAAAACAGCUAGAAGAGAACCAGUUCGGAUGACAGAACCCAGAUGACAGCUCUGUUGAUCAAGUCUAAGGAGGCUACUGACUACAAGGCCAAGAGAACCAUACUGAAAACCCAAAUUUUGAUGCAGUGGAAAAUAGAAAGAGUAUCUUCUAUUUGUUUUCUACUGUCUGCUCGUUAUUCACAAACACUUAUUCACAGAAUUUAAACACUUAGCUGGUCAAUCACACUACAUUAAAUGAAUAGAAACUUUUGUAUAAAUAUAUGUAAAUAAUAGCAUCUUUCUUGAUUGCGCUGUUCAAAUAUCCUCUAUUUUUGCUGAUUUAUUUUCCUCUUUUUCUGUGAGACAGAGAUUUGGUUAAAAAUUUCUACUUCAAUUAUAGAUUUGUCAGUUUUCUUAAUACUGACAGUUUUUGUUUUAUAUAUUUUGAGUCUAAGUAUUAACUGUUAACACACUUAGAAUUAUUAUCAUAUCUUCCCAAGAACUGAGCAUUUUAUCAUAACAAAUAUCAUUCUUUAACUCUUUAUUUAAGUCCAUUUUGUCUGAUUUUUGUAUAACUAUACCUGGUUUCUUUUUGUUUUUGCUCUCUUGGUCAAACAUUGUCCAUUCUUUAAUUUUCAUGUUUUCUGUAUUCUUUUAUUUAAGGUAUGGCUCUUCUAUUCCACAUACACUUGUACUGAUUUUGCAAUCCUAACAAUCUAUAAUAUAUAUGAUUUUUAGAAUUUUUUCUAUUUACCUUCAAUUAAUAAUACAUCUGUUUUUGAAUUUACCUUUUUACUCUUUGC